GAUGAACGCUGGCGGCGUGCCUAAUACAUGCAAGUCGAGCGAACAGACGGGGAGCUUGCUCCUCUGACGUUAUCGGCGGACGGGUGAGUAACUUGUGGUUAACCUACCUCUAAGACUGGGAUACUUAUGGGAAACCGGAGCUAAUAACCGAAGAUAUAUUGCACCGCAUUGUUCACUAGUGAAAGACGGUUUUGCUUAGACUAAAAGCUGAAUCCGCCCAGCAUGAGCUAGUUGGUAAGGUAACGGCUUACCAAGGCAACGAUGCAUAGCCGACCUGAAAGGGUGAACGGCCACACGGGAACUGAGACACGGUCCAGACUCCGACGGGAAGAAGCAGUAGGGAAUCCUCCGCAAUGGGCGAGAGGCGGACGGAGCAACGCCGCGGAAGGGAUGAAGGUCUACGGAUGGGAAAGCUCUGUAAUUAGGGAAGAAGAAAAGUGUAAGUAACUAUGAACGUCUUGACGGUACCUAAACAAAAAGCCACGGCUAACUACGUG
rnacentral:rRNA from 1 species